AAAAGGGACGGGGUUUCGCCAUUCUCUCUCUUGCUCUGGCUCUUGCACUCUGGCUCCUAAAGAUGUAAGCAAUAGAGCUCUCUUGCUCCGGCUCUUGCUUCUUGCUCCUGACGAUGUAAGCAAUAAAGCUCUUGCACUCUUGCGCUCUUGCGCUCUGGCUCCUAAAGAUGUAAGCAAUAGAGCUCUUGCUCUCUUGCACUCUUGCUCCUGAAGAUGUAAGCAAUAAAGUUUUGCCGCAGAAGAUUCUGGUUUGCUGCGUCUUUCCUGGCCGGUCGAGAACGCGUGUAAGAGUGAAGCUCAGCUCAGAGAACCCCAUAGAAGAAAGGGAGAAAGGACUGUAGGAGUCAGAGGGGUUACGCACAGCAGGAGAACACAGCUCACAGACUCUGCUAAGUGAGGCUCACAGGGGCUCACAGAGACUGAAGUGGCAACCAUGGAACCAGCAUGGGUCUGCACCGGGCCCUCUGCAUGCAUGCUGUGACUGUUUAGCUUAGGAUUUCUGUGGGGAUCUCUCUGACACUCUGGCCUCCUCUUGGGAUCCAUUUCUUCCCACUAGGUUGCCUUGUCCAGAUUUGAUGUAGGGGUUUAUGCCCAAUCUUAUUGCAUCUUGUUAUGUCAUGCUUGGUUGACAUCAUUGGGAGACCUGCUCUUUUCUAAAGGGAAAUGGACGAACAGUGAAUCUCAGAGAAGUGGUGGUGGGUGGGGGAGAACUGGGAGGAAUGGAGGAAGUGAGGCUGUGGUUGGAAUGUAUUGUAUGAGAGAAGAAAUAAAAGUGAAAACAAAAUCUCUGAAACAGCUUUAUUCAGAAUAGCCCAGCCUUAAAAAAGGAUAGCCCAUCUGC
rnacentral:lncRNA from 1 species